CUAAGUCUAGAGUCUAAAGGCAUUUGCCAUUAUAUCUCUAUAGUCACUUGGAUAUUAGUGUCUGGUUGGCACAGAAGAAGGACAUGGCGGAAUGCAAUUUGUGGAUGGAGGAGGUGGUGUCAUCCUACCACUGCUGUUUCGGCACCUGUUAGAGUGGUUGAUUGGGUUUGAACAUGGGUUAUUCAUCUGUGUCUCCAGUUCAAUACGGCAUCAGGUCUCCCUGCUGCAAGAUUGAUUCCCAGCCCGUGGAAGAAAAGUUUUAGAAUCAUCAUUCACAAACUUUGUGCCCCCUCAGCCUCAGGCUCGAUCCAAGGUGUCGUUGGUGAAAGUGAUUGACAGAACUCACAAUAGAUUUUGAAAUAACAGUGAGGGGAGGCUUGGAGCCGCAGCCUCCUUUUCCACUCCACUAGAGCCUAUCACUGCUGCAGCCGGAGGGCCAGGACCCGGCAGCAUGGCGGCAGCUGAGGCCGGUGCAGAGGGGGGAACAGUUGAGAGGGAACAGGCAAGCAGCUAGAGGUGAAAGCAGCAGCAGCAGCAGUCGCAGGAGGACGGAGAUGGAUGAACAGUACUCCCCAGGAUCAAUCAGGCACUCAUAGCCACAGCAGAUCAUCUUUCUCCAGGAGCAUGUUACUGCUGCUGCACCACUUCGUCCCUGCCCCCUAUAAACCACAUCACCCCACUUGCCCGGGAGGAGAGAGGGAGGAAACAUGAGAGGGAAAGUUCGCUGCUGUAUCUCCCUCACAGAGAGGGGGAGGGAGGGAGAGAGAGAGAAGGGUUUGGAGAAGGGGUCGGUCGGAGGAUGUAUUGACUGUUUUCACUGUGAUAUAAUUGCAAUUAAAGGUUGCAAACAGCCCAGUGGAUCAGUUUCUCUGCUGUCACCGGGACACAUGGCAGCGCUGAUGCAUCCCCACACACUUCCUCAGAUAGCAGGGGACGAUUGCUAAUGAUGUCUGCCCCUGCAGACUAUGUGUAGAUUAGUGCCAUGGCGCGCAGUCGUUUAGCGCCACAACUCCUCGCACAUCAGACAUUAACAAGUAUUUUACUGAGAAAUAACACCACAGCCCCGAAGAGACGACAGCAGGAGGAGCAGUGUUAACUCGCUGUUACACUCUUAGGUCAGGAAGAGACUGGAUUUGAGAUCAGAUAAAUAAGUGCGUGUAAAUGAGAAUUUGCCCGUUUGUUCAUAUGAAAAUGUUGUCAUUCCUAUUUUGUCCUUGAUGCAGUUUAUUUUUUUUCUAAUGCUUGAAUAGUUGAAGGACGUUUUGCUUUGAUAUCUUUAAAUUCAGAACACCGACUUUAUGACACUGCUGCUGAAAACCCCAUAAAAAUAUAAUUAAAUGAAACUUUGAAUAAAUCAAGGUUGUACAUAGAUGAAUGAAGUUGGGCAAAUGAAGGUGUUCUGCACAUUACAAAUCAACCUAAUAAAUAUCUUAUCACCCAACUCUAUACUGUAGUUCCCCUCCACUCCACAGUGUUUUGGCAUUUUCAGGUUAUUUUCUUAUGAUAUAUCAGCUUGCAGCAACUUUUUAUCUACUAUACACAGAUAGAGGACACUACUUCUACUCUGAAAUGUCUUUGCAUUGUUUUAAUUUUCAAAUAUUUUCAAAUCUAAUUUGUUGUGCAGUAUAACUUUAUACCACAUUCUUUGCCCUAUCACUGUUCACCUGCCUCACGUGCCUUAACUUAUUAUUCAUACACCGUAGAUUGAGGUCAUCAUAUUGUUUAUUCGUCUUGUUUUAUCUUAUUUUCUAAUGCUGCUGGUCUUUUGAGAAUUAACAAGAAUAAUUUUGUUGCAUGCCUUGAUUACGAGUAACGCAUCAACACUGCUUCAAAGACACAGGUGGAAAGAAAAACAAGUAUGUACAAAUACAAUGAAGGUACACUGAGCAAACAUUUCUGUUAGUGCCGUUCCCAAGUGUGCAGGACUGCUUUUGUCCUUAUUAUUUGUAUCUGUAAAUAUCUCCGCUUUUCUUUUUUUUACUUCUGAAAGCAACCUCAGUUUCUGUCCAACAUUCUGCAGCUCAGAGAAAAUUGUGGAUCCCCACCACAUACCAGAACUAAUAACAAUGCAUGCUAGAUUGAAUGACUGUACAUACUGGCAGCAGUGUCAACUUCUUUCAAAAGGGAUUGAAAUUCAGACUAACAGUUUGAUCCUUUCAAAUAGUGUCGCAUCGACAUAAUCAACAGUUACCCUGCGAUAACCCUGCCUGACUAUCCAUCUCACACCCAAUCAGUGCAUCCCAUUAAAUUAUUUUUUUUUGGAACCUCAAUUUCCUGCCCGUGUAUGAGAGCCAUCUUUAUGGGAACUAAAUCGACUGUUCAUUAACGAGAGGAAGCUGUAUCAAGAACAAACAUCUUUAAUUAACACAUCCACCAGCA